GACGAACGCUGGCGGCAUGCUUAACACAUGCAAGUGGAGCGACGAACCUUUUUGAGGCAAAGCCGCGAACGGGUGAGUAACACGUGGGCAAUCUGCCCAGUUGACUGGAAUAACUCGAGGAAACUCGAGCUAAUACCGCAUAAAGUCCUUGGGAGGCAUCUCCCGAGGACCAAACUUCCGGGGCGGGAGGAGCAAUCUGCGUACUAUCAGCUAGUUGGUGAGGUAAUGGCUCACCAAGGCUACGACGGUUAACUGGUCUGAGAGGAUGAUCAGUCACACUGGAACUGAGACACGGUCCAGACUCCUACGGGAGGCAGCAGUGAGGAAUAUUGCACAAUGGGCGAAAGCCUGAUGCAGCGACGCCGCGUGGAGGAUGAAGGAUUUCGGUCUGUAAACUCCUGUCAGUAGGGAAGAGAAUGGACGGUACCUACUGAGGAAGCUUCGGCUAACUACGUGCCAGCAGCCGCAGUAA
rnacentral:rRNA from 1 species